rnacentral:rRNA from 1 species
GCCUAUGGCCACACCAACCUGAACGCACCCAAUCUCAUCUGAUCUUGAAAGCUAAGCCAAGUCAGGCCUGGUUAGUACUUUUGGAU